rnacentral:ribozyme from 1 species
UGCUCAGCAACUCCUAUCCCUACCUCCUCGUGGUACUAGCCGGGGUACGAGUAACCUUAGGGAAGAUCUGGUAGGAGCUUUGGUCGUAUUCUGACAGGGAAGC